UGUUCGUAUUUGGCCAUCAGGUGAUCCCAGACAACAAAGAAGAUGGCAGCCACGGUGAUCCCAAAAAGAGGAAGGGCUCUGUGAAAGUUCAGCACACAGGCCGCAAUCACCAUAACCAGAUAACCUGUCCAGGAAGCAAAAACAGACAUUGAACAUCACUAAUUACUGGGAUACGCCUCCAGCCUCCAGCCUUCAUUUGGCUCAGAUUCGGUCUAAACUGGCGUGAAGGCACAGACCUACCAACAACAGACUACUUAUCUAAGUGACACAGAGUCUCUAAGGAAAAGAGAUGAUUUCCAAACUCCAGGACCUCAAAGGACGUGGCCCCGAGCUGGGAGACCUGCACUGCCCUUGGUCAGUGCCUUCAUUUUCCUGCCUUCCAACAGUCUCGCCCGCACCUCCAGGUGAGCCACCUCCCAAGCUUUGGGGCACAGCUCAAGCUUUUGGCUUCUAAAAAGUCUUCUUGCAUCUCCUCAGACAGAUAGAUGCCUCUGAAGUUUAUUCUUACUGUCUUCUUUGAUUGUGUUUAUUUCAAGUAGCAGGAAAUAUUGGUUAUUUGGUUAAUAACCAGUCAUUUGGUUAUCUAGGCUGAAUAAUUUCCAACCCAUUAACCCUAGUGAAACCUGAGUGCCUCUGACCACACAAGAGAAUUUCUCAGUCCCCCAGGGCCAGAGACCCCUGGAGAACAGAUGCCUAUGAGCCAUACAGCACCAUGAGUAGAACCUUGGAUAUUAAGGAUGUUCAACAGACACGUAUUGGUUGAUAGAUGAAUGAAAUGGGAGUAAAUAUUGCUUAUCUGAAACAGUAUUUUAUGGCUCUGAGUUGGAGAUCCAUUCGUGGGUUAUAAAGUCCACAUAGUAACCACUAUUAAAAUAGAAGGAGGCCAGGUAUGGUGGCCUGUAAUCCCAGCACUU